GAACCAGGAGCUUGCUCUUGGGGAUUAGUGGCGAACGGGUGAGUAACACGUGAGUAACCUGCCCUUGACUCUGGGAUAAGCGUUGGAAACGACGUCUAAUACCGGAUACGAGCUUCAGCCGCAUGGCUAGGAGCUGGAAAGAAUUUCGGUCAAGGAUGGACUCGCGGCCUAUCAGCUAGUUGGUGAGGUAAUGGCUCACCAAGGCGACGACGGGUAGCCGGCCUGAGAGGGUGACCGGCCACACUGGAACUGAGACACGGUCCAGACUCCUACGGGAGGCAGCAGUGGGGAAUAUUGCACAAUGGGCGAAAGCCUGAUGCAGCAACGCCGCGUGAGGGACGACGGCCUUCGGGUUGUAAACCUCUUUUAGCAGGGAAGAAGCGAAAGUGACGGUACCUGCAGAAAAAGCACCGGCUAACUACGUGCCAGCAGCCGCGGUAAUACGUAGGGUGCAAGCGUUGUCCGGAAUUAUUGGGCGUAAAGAGCUCGUAGGCGGUUUGUCGCGUCUGCUGUGAAAUCCCGAGGCUCAACCUCGGGUCUGCAGUGGGUACGGGCAGACUAGAGUGCGGUAGGGGAGAUUGGAAUUCCUGGUGUAGCGGUGGAAUGCGCAGAUAUCAGGAGGAACACCGAUGGCGAAGGCAGAUCUCUGGGCCGUAACUGACGCUGAGGAGCGAAAGGGUGGGGAGCAAACAGGCUUAGAUACCCUGGUAGUCCACCCCGUAAACGUUGGGCGCUAGAUGUGGGGAUCAUUCCACGGUUUCCGUGUCGUAGCUAACGCAUUAAGCGCCCCGCCUGGGGAGUACGGCCGCAAGGCUAAAACUCAAAGGAAUUGACGGGGGCCCGCACAAGCGGCGGAGCAUGCGGAUUAAUUCGAUGCAACGCGAAGAACCUUACCAAGGCUUGACAUAUACGAGAACGGGCCAGAAAUGGUCAACUCUUUGGACACUCGUAAACAGGUGGUGCAUGGUUGUCGUCAGCUCGUGUCGUGAGAUGUUGGGUUAAGUCCCGCAACGAGCGCAACCCUCGUUCUAUGUUGCCAGCACGUAAUGGUGGGAACUCAUGGGAUACUGCCGGGGUCAACUCGGAGGAAGGUGGGGACGACGUCAAAUCAUCAUGCCCCUUAUGUCUUGGGCUUCACGCAUGCUACAAUGGCCAGUACAAAGGGCUGCAAUACCGUAAGGUGGAGCGAAUCCCAAAAAGCUGGUCCCAGUUCGGAUUGAGGUCUGCAACUCGACCUCAUGAAGUCGGAGUCGCUAGUAAUCGCAGAUCAGCAACGCUGCGGUGAAUACGUUCCCGGGCCUUGUACACACCGCCCGUCAAGUCAUGAAAGUCGGUAACACCCGAAG
rnacentral:rRNA from 1 species